GGACUACCCGGGUAUCUAAUCCCGUUUGCUCCCCUGGCUUUCGCAUCUCAGUGUCAGUAUCGGACCAGAAAGCCGCCUUCGCCACCGGUGUUCCUCCCAAUAUCUACGCAUUUCACCGCUACACUGGGAAUUCCGCUUUCCUCUUCCGCACUCGAGUCUUGCAGUUUCAAAGGCAAUGACCUGGUUAAGCCGGGCCAUUUCACCUUUGACUUACAAGACCACCUACAUGCCCUUUACACCCAAUAAAUCCGGACAACGUUUGCCACCUCUGUAUUACCGCGGCGGCUGGCAC
rnacentral:rRNA from 1 species